GAGGCAGUAGCUCAGUGUUAGAGCUCCCGAUUCAAAUGGGGGAAGACCGGGUUCGAUUCUCGACUGCUUCC
rnacentral:tRNA from 1 species